rnacentral:rRNA from 1 species
CCUACGGGAGGCAGCAGUGAGGAAUAUUGGUCAAUGGGCGCGAGCCUGAACCAGCCAAGUCGCGUGAGGGAAGACGGUCCUAUGGAUUGUAAACCUCUUUUGUCGGGGAGCAAAAGACGCCACGCGUGGCGUUCCGAGAGUACCCUACGAACAAGCAUCGGCUAACCCCGUGCCAGCAGCCGCGGUAAUACGGGGGAUGCGAGCGUUAUCCGGAUUUAUUGGGUUAAAGGGGAGCGCCGGCGGAAGAUCAAGUCAGCGGUAAAAUUGAGAGGCUCAACCUCUUCGAGCCGUUGAAACUGGUGUUCUUGAGUGAGUGAGAAGUGGGCGGAAUGCGUGGUGUAGCGGUGAAAUGCAUAGAUAUCACGCAGAACUCCGAUUGCGAAGGCAGCAUACCGGAGCUCAACUGACGCUCAUGCACGAAAGUGUGGGUAUCGAACAGGAUUAGAUACCCCAGUAGUC